UUCAUGGCACCAGCCCAAUCAGGCCAUGUCUUCCAAAAGGCUUAUACUUUCCAAAUUGUUGAUUUCAGUCUUUGCCUUGUGAUUUCUUUCAGCCAGUGAAAUAUGAAUGGAUUUAAUGAGGCAGCCUGUGCCAUCUCUGAGCAGAAUCCUCCAUCUUUGGGGCCAUCGUUCUCUUCUCACUACCAUGCGCCUUCUUGGUCCUAGAUAAUGAUACCAUUAACCUGAAUCCCAGAAGGAUGAGUGAGAAAUAGAUCUUCAUGCUACUUUCCUCUUGAUAAAAAUCAACAUACCACUGAAUUCUGCUGUUCUAAAAUCUGAGGCCGCUUGCUGUCUGGGUGCUUCAGGAAGACAUUUAUCCAGGACUUGGCUUCCUCUGCUUUUGGAACCUGUGCAGAAGAUGAGUAGUGACUCUAGAAGGGGCUGGUUGGAACCAGGGCUGAGGAUGAGGAUGCUGGCAAGCUGCCACUCAAGAGAAGAUGCACGGAGUCUUGCAGAUUAGAAACAGACUACAG